rnacentral:lncRNA from 1 species
GAUUACAGGCACGCGCCACCACUCCCAGGUAUGUUUUAGAUUUAUGUAUGUAUGAAUGUACUAGAUCCCACAUAUAUUUCUUCCUGUGGUUAUAAGUCAAGUGUUUUGAAAUCCAUUGACUUGGGCAAAUUUUCUUUUCAAAUAUAUUACUUGGCACCAUAAACUCUUCAAUUUCAGCAAAUGAUUUUUUUAAAUGACCCCAGUGUUUUGUGAAUACUUAUAUUUGACUCUAGCUCAUUUGAACAAUUUUUGCCAGAAAGAGAAAACAGCCAAAUGGAGAUCUGGCUUGCUGUGUAGGGGCUGAGAGAAGUGUGAUCAUUCUGACCCUCUAUUAGCAGGAAACUGCUCAACAGUCACAUCUUGAAAGUAACUUGAGGCAACUGCAGGAGGGCUGCAUGGCGGGAAAGAAAUUGCUGAAAACAGGCUGGGUGAGCUGGCUCGUACCUGUGAUCCCAACACUUUGGGAAGUGAAGUUGGGCGGAUCACUUGAGGGUCUUACUCUGUGACCCACGCUGGAGUGCAAUGGCACCAUCACGACUUACUGAAGCCUCCACUUCCCGGGCUCAAGUGAUUCUCACACCUCAGCCUCCUGAGUAGCUGAGACCACAGGCUCCGGUAGAUUGCAAAUGACCUGCUUUCUUUCUGUUCCCGGGCGUUUGGACCCCUGUCUUGGACCGCUGUCGGAUAGUAAAUCCCAAGUAAGGUACCUGCCGUCGGCAGAUUUGAGCUUUCUUCUUGGACACCUAAUACCCAGAGUCCUCCAGGCUCCGGUAGAUUGCAAAUGACCUGCUUUCUUUCUGUUCCCGGGCGGCAUCGGACCCGUCGGAGAGUAAAUCCCAAGUAAGGUACCUGCCGUUGGCAGAUUUGAGCUUUCUUCUUGGACACCUAAUACCCACAGUCCUCCAGGCUCCGGUAGAUUGCAAAUGACCUGCUUUCUUUCUGUUCCCGGGUGGCAUCGACCCGUCGGAGAGUAAAUCCCAAGUAAGGUACCUGCCGUUGGCAGAUUUGAGCUUUCUUCUUGGACACCUAAUACCCACAGUCCUCCAGUAAAUCCCAAGCAAGGUACCUGCCGUCAGCAGAUUUGAGCUUUCUUCUUGGACACCUAAUACCCACAGUCCUCCAGGCUCCGGUAGAUUGCAAAUGACCUGCUUUCUUUCUGUUCCCGGGCUGCGUUCGGACCCCUGUCGGAUAGUAACUCCCAAAAAAACAAACAAAGACAUGGAUUUACUGUGCAUAUUAGCAGAUCCAUACUGGAAAAUGCAUGGAGGUUUCAUAUACACCACUUACAGGUUUCCAAAGCCACAAUUUCCUUCAUAUGUUCAAACUCUUCAGGAUGCAGAAAGGCAGUGAACUCCUCCGGAGUAGCUGUCAGGUCACCAUUGAGGUCUGCAGCUUUGAAUCUUCUCUCAUCACGUGGCAGCAUCUUUUUAAAGGUGUGAUGAUCUGAAGAAUCAUGAAACUCUGCGGGGUUUCCUAGGUUUUCAGCUCCUCAGUAGUGACAAAGCCAUACCCAUCAUUGUCGAUUCGAUCAACAAUCUUCCCUAGCCUCUCCUUGCUCUCGUCCGGGGUGAGCUCGUCGAAGUUCUUGGAGUCCUCCUUGCCCAGGAAGGCCUCGUGGUCGUACUGGAAGCUCUGGUUGUCCUCAGGGGGCCGCUCGCCCAGCUCCGAGUCGGGCCGCACCACGCGCUCUUUGCGCACCGUGGGCUUGGCCCGCAGAACCCGCGGCGCCAGCACCAGCGCCAGCAGCAGCCCCAGGGCUAACCCCAGGCGGCCACCGCGCGCCAUCGUCCCGAGGAGAGGGCGGCCGGGAGGGAGACGCUGAGCGAGCGACAACAGCGGCAGCUCGGGAAUGGGGGCUCGGAGCGCGGCGGCCAAGUUUUAUGUUAUGUAUAUUUUACAAGUAAAAAAAUUUUUUCACCUCAGCCUGAACUGAACACUAGCUGACAGACGUUUUGAUUUCUUUGACCAUCACGGAAUCGUGGCCAAGCGCGGUGGCUCACAUCUGUAAUCCCAACACUUUGGGAGGUCAAGAUGGGCGGAUUGCUUGAAUCCAGGUGUUUGAGAUCAGCCUGGGCAACAUGACAAAACCCUGUUUCUAGUAAAAAUACAAAAAUUAACCAGGCUCAAGCCAUGACCAUGCACCAUUGCACUCCAGCCUAGGCGACAGAGCAGGACCCUGUCUCAAAAAAAAAAAAAAAAAAAAAAAAAAAAAAGAAGAAGAAAUCUCAGCAGGCUGAGAUGGAACUCAUUCUUCUCAUGAAGAACGUGGCAAGCAUUAUACAGAGGGGCCAUAGUCUGGAAAGCAGGAGAUGCUUACAGACAUAUAAGUUGUUUCCAGUGUUUUGCUCUUGGUACUCAUGGUUCCACUAUUUACAUCAACCUUUUGAGAAACAUAUUUAUACACUGUCUUAUACUUCCCUCCUUUGCUACAGAAUGAAUCUACUUGUAACCUACCAAAAAUUUACCCUGUCACAUUUCCCCAGCUGCUGGUUUAAAAAUAAAUAUCCUGGAUUUAAAGCCAAUUGUGUCUAACAGGUGCCACCAUCCAAGUGAGGAUUUCACUGUUCACAGGCAUUUGAGACACACCAGCGGCCGGCGGUUCUCACUGCUCUUCAUAUGGAGGCAACCAUAUAUGGGUAAGUCAUUUAGUCUCUUAGGUAGGCGAACUGAGGCCAAUCUCCCCACUUUUAGGGCUGUGAAACUGUUCUGUAUGAUACAAUAAUGGUGGAUAUGCGUCACUAUACAUUCGUCCAAAUCCACAGAAUGUACAACACCAAGAGUGAACCCUACUGUAAACUAUGGACUCUGAGUGACAAUGAUGCAUCAAAUAGGUUCAUCAGUUGUAAUAAAUGCACUGCUCUGGUGCAGAAUGUUGAUGAUGGAGGAGACAGGGGUACAUGGGAAUCUCCGUACCUUCCAUUCAAUUUUGCUAAAACUACUCUAAAAAAUAAAAUUAAAGAAAAAAAAAAGCUCCCCUCUUUCCCCAGUUUUACGAUUUAUUUAUGCUUUGUGAAAUGGAGUCUCACUCUUGACUCCCAGGCUGGAGUGCAGUGAUCUCAGCUCAAUGCAACCUCCACCUCCCGGGUUCAAGAGAUUCUCCUGCUUCAGCCUCCUGAGAGGCUGGGAUUACAGGCGCAUGGCACCAUGCCCAGCUAAUUUUUGUAUUUUUAGUAGAGAUGGGGUUUCACUAUGUUGGCCAGGCCAGUCUCGAGCUCCUGAACUCAAGUGAUCUACCGUACCCGGCCCCCAAUGUUAGUUUUUAAAUAAACGACUAUGUUUAAUUCACAUGCUAACAGGCACCUAGAGAAUACUUUCAAGUAAAAAGAUUAAUGAACCCACUUCGCAUUGAGUUAGCUGGUUGUUUUCUGCCAACCAGGUGUCCCUGCCUGGUCCACAGUUGACCAAGGAUCCCUGCAUCUGCCUCUAGCAACACCCAACACUGUAUGAAGGGCUGAGGGGGUCUGACAGUUCACGUCACUGACAUCCUCUCACUGGUAUUUCGAAUGCCAAGCCAGCCCUCAAAUCAAGUUCACUGGCCUCGACUGAGCUGCCAAGUAUUUCAUACAUGGGGAGGGGGGUUGGGGGGGGGGAGGGUAGGGGGAUCACACAGGUGCCAGGCAAUGAGUAAGAUUAUCCCAGCAACUUCUCCAUGCAGAGAGAAAUGUCUGCAGCUGCAACACUAUUUCUACUCCAGCCUUCUAGACUCCAUGUAGUUUGCCUUUGUUUGAAUGUUUCUAUUUAUCUGAAAUAACCAGAAAUCAUUUUUAUUAUUAUAU